CCGUGGCGCAGUUGGUGACCGCACUCGGCUGUUAACCGAGGGAUCGGUGGUUCAAAUCCACCCGGU
rnacentral:tRNA from 1 species